rnacentral:lncRNA from 1 species
GCAUGUGUUAUUUGUAAAAAUACAAAUUGAUUCAGCUAAUAAGUAGUCCCACCUCACUUUUUUACAUCCAAACUACUCAAUUUAUAUACGUUUAUGAGUUUCCUAGGUGUCAGGAAGCCGUCUCGGAAAUCAUUACAGAAAAACAAGGAAGGAAAGAGAGGCUAAUUAACAGGAAAGCGAGGCAACGAAAUAAGGAAGGAAUCCUGAGAGAUAUAUUCUCUAAUCUAAAUUGAGAAGGACAUGAGGUGACAAAGAUGAAAUAAGGAAGGAAAUUGGGAUCCUGAGGGAUGAUCCUGAGACAUAUUCUAAUCUAGAGUAAUAUAAGAAGGGACAAAGAACAACAAUGUCGGGUUUACACACCACGGGAAACAUUAUCUAGACGGCCUGCAAAGUAGAUUUACACACGCAAGCAAAAUAGAAAACAAGUUUUCGCAAGAAAGAACAAGCCAUGCUGACGAAUAAGCAAGUAGCAGGUGCAUUGCGCCAAAAUAGUUUAGGUGUAUACACGAUAAACAAUUGUUCGACACAUUUUCUUUUACCAUCAGAAUGAUGAAGAGAAAUGCAUUAUUGUGUUUUUACACAAACACAUUUAGGCAAUAAAUCCUGACGAAAAUAUUUACUUUGAUGCAGUUGCCAUAUCAUGUGACCAAAUGAGAAGUCCACUUGCCUUAUCUCAUUCGCUUCUUGAUUCCUGAAGAUAUCCACAUCAGAUUGCUAUUUCUAAAAGGUGUUUUAUCCUGAGAAAGAAGUAGAAUAUAUUAGUCGGUGGUACAAGGUAUACAACUGUUCAAAAAUAAUUUAUGGUAUAUAUACAACCGAGGGUUCGAGAUGAUGAUAAAAGUAUCAGGUACAAAAGUUAAAAAAAAUGUCACAUAACACAAUGAAGAUUAGGAGCUACCUAUAGAUAUAAUUUUCAAUAUCUAGAGAACCAUAGGAUUCUGAAUUUUGGCAUCGGUGGAUAGAAUUCCGCGCAAACUAUAACACUGUUUGUUCUUAAUAGCGGUAUCAAUCUGACUGUCAAACUGAACCGGAUUAGUCAAUGAUCCACUGAGCAGGAGUUUACCCAGUUUCAAAAAACAUAAAAUUUCUAUGCUCCAGUUUUAAUGUGAAAAGGGUACACAUGUUAGCACACUUCAUUCAUCCAAAUACAUUCAACAUCUACCGAAUUGCAAUUGCAUGAGAAAUUCAGGUUUUAAUCUUAUGCAUAGAACCUCAUGUAGCCUGAAUGGUACUCCAUCCGUUCCUAUAUAUAAGUCUUUGUAGAGAUUUCACUAUGGACCACAUACGGAUGUAUGUAGAUGCAUUUUAGAGUAUAGGUUCACUCAUUUUACUCCAUAUGUGGUCCAUAGUGAAAUCUCUCCAAAGACUUACAUUUAGAAACGGAGGGAGUACACUUCAGAUGCAUUCAACAUCAAAUGAAGUGUACUAAAUGGAUCUGGAUGUACCCUUCAGUUUUAAUUCGGUUGUUGUUAUUCAUAUUCAAACUGAUGCAUACAAGCUCAUAUAGCCUGAAAUUGUCAGCACGUAAUAUUUCAAAUAAAGUGUACCCUUCAGUUUUAAUCCAAAUAAACAUCCAGAUCCCGAACUCUGAAUAAAAAUGCAUAGAAGCUAAUGUAGGAAUUGUCAGCACGCAAUUCCCCAAUUCCUUCAUCCAGACCAUUCAACAUAAACCGAAUUCAGGAACACAUAUUAUAUACAUUCUGAACGAACACCACAAAAAUCAAAGAAAUUACAAACCACACAGUAAUCGAGAACCCACCAUAUCAUGGAAGCUCACCGGUGGUAGACUGCUUUGUAUCCUCACUGCAACAACUCGUGCGUCAUACGGACGGAGGUGGACCUACGGCAGGAUGCGGGUGAGAAGACCGGGGAGAUGAGAUGACGAGCAGGAGAGUCAUCAGCGGCACAGCGCAGCGCGGGCGCCGGGAGCAGCAAGCAACAAAGGCAAGCAGCAGCGGCAAGCAAAGCAACCACCAGCAGCAAGCGGCAACAACAGCAAGCAGCAAAGCAAGCCAGCAACGAACAGCAGCAGCAAGCAGGCAGAAGCGGGCAGAGGCGACUCCUCACCUUACUGUUCGUUGCGGCCGAGUCGGACAGAUCAGGGAGGCGAGAGGACGGACAACAGCGAGUUUCGGACGGCGUCAAUGGCGGUCAGCGGUCGGGAAGCUGUAGGAGGGACCCGUGGCUUCGAGUCCGUGGUCCAGACGUGGACCCCUUCAUGGUCCCUGUAGCUGCUCGGGGAGGACGAUGACCGCGGCGGGGUCGCAACGGCGGCCGACGGAACCAAGAAAGGUGGCCUUGGUUCAAGAGGUUCCUGCACGCCGGCGGCCGGAAUCACCAUUAAAGGGACGGCAGGAGCAACAAUGGAGCUAAGGAAAUACACAGGAGCAUGAACGCACCGGAGAAACGAGGUGAUUCACGGCGGCGUCUAGCGGGCAUGCAUGUCGGAGCCGGAGGCGUGGACGUCGAUCCGGACCGACGGCUGGCGGAUCCUGCCGGCCCCUGCAGCUGGCGUUGCAACGGCGAGCGGCGGCAUCCCCGGCGAGCUUGACGAGAAAGGGGAUCCAGGGAGGGAGAAAAGGAGUGAGGAGUGAGGUAAUGGAGUGGAGGAGGAGAAAGAUGAAGGGACAACCGGGCAGGAGGCGGCGUGUGUCCCUUGGAGAUGACGCUGAUGGACUGACCUAGGAGACCCACUGGUCAGUGGCAAAGG